UACGGGGGGGGCAAGCGUUGUUCGGAAUUACUGGGCGUAAAGGGUUCGUAGGUGGCCUACUAAGUCAGACGUGAAAUCCCUCAGCUUAACUGGGGAACUGCGUCUGAGACUGGUGGGCUUGAGUGCAGGAGAGGAACGCGGAAUUCCAGGUGUAGCGGUGAAAUGCGUAGAUAUCUGGAGGAACACCGGUGGCGAAGGCGGUCUGCUGGGCCGUUGCUGACGCUGAGGCGCGACAGCGUGGGGAGCAAACAGG
rnacentral:rRNA from 1 species